AUUGCUUCUUGGCCUUUUGGCUAAGAUCAAGUGAAAUAUCAAAAUAAAAUGAAAAUAAAAUUUAUUUUAUGUUUUUUAAAGAUUUAUUUGUUUUAUUACAAAGUCAGAUAUACACAGAGGAGGAGAGACAGAGAGGAAGAUCUUCCGUCCGAUGACUCACUCCCCAAGUGAGCCGCAACGGCCGGUGCUGU